GGGAACGUAUUCACCGCAGCGUUGCUGAUCUGCGAUUACUAGCGACUCCGACUUCAUGGGGUCGAGUUGCAGACCCCAAUCCGAACUGAGACCGGCUUUUUGGGAUUCGCUCCACCUUGCGGUUUCGCAGCCCUUUGUACCGGCCAUUGUAGCAUGCGUGAAGCCCUGGACAUAAGGGGCAUGAUGACUUGACCUCAUCCCCACCUUCCUCCGAGUUACCCCGGCAGUCUCCUAUGAGUCCCCGCCAUAACGCGCUGGCAACAUAGAACGAGGGUUGCGCUCGUUGCGGGACUUAACCCAACAUCUCACGACACGAGCUGACGACAACCAUGCACCACCUGUACACCGACCUUGCGGGGCAUCCAUCUCUGGGUGUUUCCGGUGUAUGUCAAGCCUUGGU
rnacentral:rRNA from 1 species